GACAGAGGGUGCAAACGUUGCUCGGAAUUACUGGGCGUAAAGCGCGUGUAGGUGGAUUGGUGUGUCAGAUGUGAAAGCCCUGGGCUCAACCCAGGAACUGCACCUGAAACUACCAGUCUUGAGUGGUGGAGAGGGAAGUGGAAUUCCUGGUGUAGAGGUGAAAUUCGUAGAUAUCAGGAGGAACACCAGUGGCGAAGGCGGCAUCCU
rnacentral:rRNA from 1 species